rnacentral:rRNA from 1 species
CCUAUCCCCUGUGUGCCUGGAGUCUCAGAGGGUCGAUUCUGGCUCAGGACGAACGCUGGCGGCGUGCUUAACACAUGCAAGUCGAACGGGGAUUAGUUGAUUGAGAGCUUCGGCAGGAAAUCGAUUAAUUCGAGUGGCGGACGGGUGAGUAACGCGUGAGCAACCUGUCCCAGACAGGGGGAUAACACUUGGAAACAGGUGCUAAUACCGCAUAAGACCACGGGAUCACAUGGUUCUGGGGGUAAAAAGGAGCAAUCCGGUUUGGGGUGGGCUCGCGUCCGAUUAGCCAGUUGGCGGGGUAACGGCCCACCAAAGCGACGAUCGGUAGCCGACCUGAGAGGGUGAACGGCCACAUUGGAACUGAGAGACGGUCCAAACUCCUACGGGAGGCAGCAGUGGGGAAUAUUGGGCAAUGGGCGAAAGCCUGACCCAGCAACGCCGCGUGAGUGAAGAAGGCCUUCGGGUUGUAAAGCUCUGUUAUAGUUGACGAAGGAAGUGACGGUAGGCUAUAAGGAAGCCCCGGCUAACUACGUGCCAGCCGCCGC